UUGAGUUUUAAAUUUGACGCAAUAUUUGAUUGUUUAUAUGGUAAUUGAUGAACACCCAAGUAACCAUCUAGCACUAAAAGAAAUCAUAAAUGAGCUGCUAAACAGCAUUCACAAGCUAAUCAGUCACAAAACAGCUACGGUGAUUGCAAAUUAGCUGUAAAACAACUGCUCUAAUAAUAGCUGGAAUGGAGCUGAUUUGAUGCUGCUACUAGCAACACUGCAACCAAAUAUUUCAUCAAACUGGCAACACUACAUUGUGCCGUGUAAGAGCGAAAGAGAGAGAUCACCAGCAAGCAGAUUCAAAAAUAUUCUUUGCUCUCUCAUCCAUUAAACCAUAACAAAUCGAGCGGGGAGAAAAAUUCAGUCAGCUUAGAAGAUUUAGUUUACGCAGCUGUUGAAGCCGUUUUAUUAUGUUGUAACCUCCAGCUGACAUGAAAUUACGGAUACGGAGGAAAAAUGGCAAAUUUAUGCGGAGAUUUCAUUGCACGAAAGCAACAACCGGCUUCGAACGCCCAACAUGGGCAUUUCCCGAGGAACUUCCAACACACGGCUGAUCGGUGCGGUGAAUAAUAUGAAAUUAAACGGUUUAGUAUGUUAAGAGAGCCUGUGGAAUGAUUGCUUUCAAAUCAUAAUAAAUUCAUCCUGAAUCCGCAAAAAAAAA